UACGUAGGGUGCAAGCGUUGUCCGGAAUUAUUGGGCGUAAAGAGCUCGUAGGCGGUCUGUUGCGUCGACUGUGAAAACCCGGGGCUCAACCCCGGGCCUGCAGCCGAUACGGGCAGACUAGAGUUCGGCAGGGGAGACUGGAAUUCCUGGUGUAGCGGUGAAAUGCGCAGAUAUCAGGAGGAACACCGGUGGCGAAGGCGGGUCUCUGGGCCGAUACUGACGCUGAGGAGCGAAAGCGUGGGGAGCGAACAGG
rnacentral:rRNA from 1 species